rnacentral:rRNA from 1 species
UGGGGAAUCUUGCGCAAUGGGCGAAAGCCUGACGCAGCGACGCCGCGUGGAGGAUGAAGCUUUUCGGAGUGUAAACUCCUGUUGCUCGGGACGAAUCCCUGGAUCUUCCAGGUUGACGGUACCGAGUGAGGAAGCACCGGCUAACUCCGUGCCAGCAGCCGCGGUAAUACGGAGGGUGCGAGCGUUGUCCGGAAUCACUGGGCGUAAAGGGCGCGUAGGUGGCUUGGUAAGCGUGCGGUGAAAGCUCGGGGCUCAACCCCGAGUCUGCCGUGCGAACUGCCGAGCUUGAGCAUCGUAGAGGCAGGUGGAAUUCCGGGUGUAGCGGUGGAAUGCGUAGAGAUCCGGAAGAACACCGGUGGCGAAGGCGGCCUGCUGGGCGAUAGCUGACACUGAGGCGCGA